GCCAUCCCCGCCGAGCCCCCCCGCCCGAGACCCGACCCCGGCCGCCUGCGCCUAGCCCUGCGCGCCGCCCGCCUCCCCCACCCCACGGCCACGAUCGAGCGACCCUCCUCCCCGACGGCUUGCCUCCCCAUGGAGCUCGCUGCGCCCGUCCCUGCCCCGGUGGGCACCCGCGCGGGCGGCCCGGCGCGUGGCAGCGGGGCCGGCCGGUGGCAGCGGAGGAGGCCACCGCAUCCAUGGCGGCAGCGGGAAGAGGCGCAGCUCGGGCCGGCCGCACCUCUCCCUUCCCAAUCCCCCGCUGCCGGCGGAGUGGUGCAAGGGCUCGGCGUCCACGUACCUCACCGCCGGCGAGAUCUCCGGCCUCGUCGCGCUCGCCGGCCCCUCCGUCGCCUUCGCCGUCAAGGCCAUCGCAGGUAAGCUCCCUCCCGUUGAAGGCGGCGCGACACCCUGCGGGGCGGGCGCGGCGGCCAAGCCGCUUAGUGCGGGCGCCGUCACUGGCAUCCUCCUGCUCCGCCGCCGUCCGAGCAGCGGGACGCCGCCGCUCCCGGGGCCGGAACGAUCUCCAGGGUCCUCAACGUCAUGGCGAUGGAGAAGGAAGCGAUGCUGCUCGUCAACAAGUUCAAGCUCGACGAGGCCCUGCCUGUGAAUCCAUAAUGCUGGGCACUUCAAACUUUAUUCAGGAGGACUGGCAUGGAAGAAGCAAGGGGGAGGAAAGAUCAUUGAGGUUGAUAAAGCUGAUAUCACAUCUGUGACAUGGAAGAGAAUUCCUAAAUCCUAUCAGCUUAGUGUUGGGACAAGGGAAGGCCUCUGUUACAGGUUCUUUGGCUUCUGUGAACAGGAUGUUAGCGGCCUUACUAACUUCAUACAAAAGAGCACGGGGAUCACACCAGAGGAGAAGCAGCUUUCCAUUAGUGGGCAUAACUGGGUGGAAUUGCAAUAAAUGCAAUGCAACGGUAGAUGAGAGCUCAUGCAAUUCCCAAACGCAUUUUUAAGCCAUCAUUGUAUAGCAUUGAGAGGAGACAAGGUGGUCACACUGACCUUUGCAGAGGGGAUCAAGUGGCUGUCCGGUGGCAGAUUAGAUGUAGCAGGACCAGUGCAAAAAUAGGUGCGACUGGAUCAAUCCUUCGUUAUUUUUGAAAUCCUUAACUUCCAUGAUUCAUUACUGUUUCUACUGAUCCAAUGAUUACUUUCUCCCCCUGUGUGAUUCAAUAUUUGAACCAAAAAAAAUCUAUUACUAACUCUGAAACAAAUUAGAUGUACCGUCAGUCACCCAGACUUUGUUCCACUGAUAUAUAUAUAUAUAUUUUUUUGGAAUUAGCUUCUUCAUUCAUUCAUCGAAAUGAUCACAAUCAUCUUGCAGAACUUGCAAAAGGAAGUUAGGAGGGGCAUUUGCCCAAACGUCAAAAGCAUGCUCAGCAAAACUAGCACAUACAUGGGCUGCCUUAUUAGCCGAUCGCCUAGCAUGCACUACAUUGAAAGAGGAGAACGAUGAGGACAUCUCUUGGAUAUCACUGAAAAUCGGUGUAAACUCCAACCUCUGAUAGUUGGCACCUGCAGAAACUAACUCCAUAUUGUUAUGUUUCGUUGACUUCCUAUUGCACGCAAAAACUAGGCUUUGAUUGCAAUAUCUGCCCUGGACAUGUAUUGCAAUGUUAUUCUAGAAAGUAUUCCCUUGAGCUCAUGUCUUUCUUCAUCGUUGAGCUGAGCAAGCAUUCCAGUAGUUGCUCUUGCUCAUCUAUGUUCAGUAGAAUAAAAUGCUGGAAGUCUAUGCUUAUCCCAAAAUUAUGAUGGAACAAUAUUUACAUGUGUAUGAGUUGCCACACACUUCCGGGCAGUUAUCCUCUUCCAUUAGUUUAGUUAUUUUAAUUUAGAGGAUUUUAUGUGAUGCCGCUUUAAUCAUUUUGUAGUAUCACUACUACCUUGAUUAUUAAUGUAAGUAAUAUCACCCUUGUGAAUUUAUGAUUCUACCUUAAUUGGAGUUUUCGUUUUAGACUGAGAAUAAUACAUGGAACUGUGCAUUCGCUAUAAAAAAGAGAUCAUGUAUAUGAUCUUGAUCAAUAUUGAGCUUGCAGUAGAAGUGUUUUAAGUUGAAUUUCUUAUGUGCCUGAUCCUUGGUUUGCAUUUUUGAGUAGAUUUAAAGGAGGAGAAUGCAUUUAGGCAUUGGUUGAUGUGGAAGCUUGGACAUUGGUCUCACAUGUAAGCAGCUAGGCCUGGGCAUUCGGGUAUUUCGGGAGAUUCGGGUAAUGAAAAGUGCUACCCGAAAUUUACUCAAAAAAAUGAAUACCCGAAAAUUCGGGUUCGGAUAUCGGGUAAUCCCGAUUACCCGAUAUACCUAACCAGCAGUCAGCGACCCUGGGCACUGCGGUGUGGCGUGCUGCAUGUCGGCCGGUAAGGGCGCGACUGCCGACGAGGGGCGGCAGGCGGCCGAGGCUGGCGAUGCGAGUGCGACGGCCGACGAGGGGCGCAGGGGCGGCAGGUGGCCGGGGCUUGCGACGCAGGCACGGAGGCCGACGAGGGGCUCAGGGGCGGCGUGGCUUGAGCGGCGGGGGUCUGCAUGCCGCAGUGCAGCCCGUAGGAUCCUGGGACCUGGGUGGCGGCUUGCAAGGGCAAGCGGUGGGCGGUGGGCAGCAGAUGUUAGUGGUGGUCUGACGGGCGGCGUGGUGGCUGGGAAAGUGGGAAUUGGGAUCUCGGGUCAGGGAGGGAGAUGCCGAUGGGGUUGGAGUCAGGCGAACGAGGAUGAAUUGAUGAUGGUCUAGCGUUAGAAGAUUUGUGGGUUGCUAGGAUGGGGCUGUCCACUUCUAUUCAUCUUGGGCCUUUAUAGAAUUUCGGGUAUUUCGGGUAAUUCGGGUACCGGAGAUAUAUACCCGAAUUACCCGAAAUAAAUUCGGGUUUUUCAAAGUUGUACCCGAAAUAGGAAUUGGGUAUUUCGGGUUCGGGUAUUUUGGGUUCGGGUUCGGGUAUUUCGGGUUUGGGGUUCGGGUUCGGGAAAUUGUGCCCAGGGCUAUAAGCAGCCCUAUAUCUUAAUGGCACAAUCCAUAUCAAUCAUAAAAUCCAUAUAGCUUCUCUGCUGGUAGCUGGGUCAUGAAAUUUUAGUUUCUGUAUAAGCCCUGUUAUCAUAAAUCAUCUAACGAUUAUCUCACAUGUCAGUUAAAGUUUAGUGUCCAUCUUGUAGCUUAGAACUUCUGUUCAGAUGUGGAGUACAUCUUCGUUAUUUUAAACAGGAACACAAUAGCCUUCAGAGUAUCAAGCCUCUUAUGGCCAUAUGCGUACAUGACACGUGUCAUACAAAUUAAGGACAAUAGCUUCAGAUCAUUCUGAAAUGCACAAAUCCUAUUGGUUAAGUAUAUCUGAACUUAAUUCCUUUGGCUAUUUUCUAUUGCUAUCUUUAAGGGAUCAAUUAUGGUUAUUUUCAACGCUGUAGAAAUUUUGGAGCAAAAUGAUGCAAGCUGAUGUAUUCUUGCGAGUUUUUGGCAUCCACUAGGGAAUGGAACAUUCAUCGAACUGGAGCAGGUGUGGAUAGGCGCGUGGAGGGUCUCAACACUGAUGCAAGCACGUAUCUCAUCGUCAUGUGGACCAUUGCUUCUACACUAUUUCUGAAUAUAAGAAAUUGUUUAAAACAUGUUAUAAAAGCUCAAUGUCGGUGAAAAUAAUUGUGAUAUAGGUUAGGGCUUUUGUUAUUGAAUACACCCUCACGGUAUAUAUGCCUCUUUUGUAUUCUAUAAAAUUAUUAUUUAUUAUUGUAUUUUUGAAGACAUGUGAGUGCCCGCACAUGCCACAAAGUUGUGAUCCUAAACUUUAACAGUUGAAGAGAGCUAUCCUAAAAUAUAAGCUUCACAGGAAGCAAUAUAGGUAUCAAUGCUUGUCUUUUGCCUUUUCUUAUUCUUCAUUUUGCAUUUCUUCUAUUAUCUUAUUUGGUUUAUGUGCAACACUUCUGCUUUUGGGGAGUUGUGCUCUUUUUCCUUUUGUUUUCUGAAAUUAACAGGAUAUAUGCUAUGAGAUUAAGAUUUCUUUUUUCUGGAGUUAUAGAAUAUUAUUUUAUUUUAGGACUUUUUAUUGGCUAUAGAAUAUUUAUUUGACUUUAGGACUUGUUUCUUGUUUUAGAAAUUAUUACUCUUGUUUCAGGCCCUCCAUUGUAGAAUCCUUUUUACAGCACAGCAUGUAACAGUUGUAAAAUAUUCUUGAAUAAAAUAAUAGAUGUGAACUAUAUCAGUGUAUCUUAGAGUCAUAUUUCUCGAGUGUCGUAGCAGUGUGAGACAAGAUUUUCUUAUGGAUCAGCUCUACUUGAAAUAUGUAUAUCUGGAUGGCCGACUACUGUAUUAGGUGUAUGGGUGAUACUAGAACUGAGAAUUUGAUAUGCCAGUGCGCAAGGAAUUUCAGGUACUUUUAGAAUUUUCAACCAUUUUCCUUUUUUGUUUCUUGGAGCAAGCUUACUGGUGUACUUGAUUGAUGUUCAAGUCCUAUUCAAAUGUAGUUGGCAAGCGCCCACUGGUGGCGCAGCAUCCGUGCCACUCUGCACUCAGAGAAGCCUCAUCAUCUACAAGCGAGGGAGCUUCUACGUUAUACAUCGCGUAAAGCUGCUGAACACAUAUAUUGUUUUUUUAAUAAACUAAUGAUCUGUUCUGUUGGAGAUCCAAUGGUACAUUAGAACAUGUCAGAAUGUAUUUUUCAAGGAAUAAAUCCACAACUAAAUAGUAGGUGUAAAUGUAUUCCCUCGCAACUAAAUUUGUGCCUUUCUACCUUUUCGGAUUAAUUCUGAUUACACUCAUUUGUAGUUCUUGCCUACAGUUGCGGAUUUCCAUCAACUGAUUACACUCAUUUGGGGUUUCCAUGUAUGUAGUUAAUACUUUAGAGAAGGUGGUCCUAACCCAAAGUUCAAAUUGACCACUCUUGUUGUAUUUUGCUUGCAUCUAUGACCCAAGAUCUCUGUUAUGAUAUAGUUAGGUAAAGUAUUUGACAUCUCUUUUAGUUCUGUCAAAUUUUCUUGUCAGAUAUGCUAAAAAGUAACUUCU